GAUGAAGAACGCAGCGAAAUGCGAUAAGUAAUGUGAAUUGCAGAAUUCAGUGAAUCAUCGAAUCUUUGUACGCACAUUGCGCCCGCCAGUAUUCUGGCGGGCAUGCCUGUUCGAGCGUCAUUUCAACCAUCAAGCCCCCGGGCUUGUGUUGGGGACCUGCGGCUGCCGCAGGCCCUGAAAACCAGUGGCGGGCUCGCUAGUCACUCCGAGCGUAGUAGUUACAUCUCGCUCAGGGCGUGCUGCGGGUUCCGGCCGUUAAAAGCCUUUUACCCCAAGGUUGACCUCGGAUCAGGUAGGAAGACCCGCUGAACUUAAGCAUAUCAAUAAGCGGAGGA
rnacentral:misc_RNA from 1 species